rnacentral:lncRNA from 1 species
GGAAGGUUAACAACUUCUAAAGGUCUGCAAAAUUUCUGUGAAGUUCAAAGAUAUGAAAACAAAAUUUGGUACCAGCUUGUUAAAAUUUUGAAAAAUGGAAAAAGUUCCUCAAAUAUUUCCAUAAUAGCAGGUGCCUAACUAUAAUAUAUGUUUCAUCAUUCUGUUAUCCACCAGUUUAACAUGCUCACAUGAAGCUAGAUACUAUACAGGAAGCUCUGAUUCAUAGAACCUGAGAAAACUGUGACAAAAAUAUCAUCAAUGCCAAUUAUGAGGAAAAAUAUAUAAGUAUUUAGUAUUAAAACUGGAAGUUGACAAGAUAUAAAUGUAAAAACACAUCACACAGUAUAGAAUGCUCUCAGGAAGCUUGAUAUGAAAUUUCAGGAAUCUGUGACUUACGAUUAAAUGGUUAACAUUUAAGAUAGUACAAAUACAUUUGAUUUAUUCAUACAGCAGAAAUGAAUUUGGUAACCCCCAUGAAUUUUAUAUCAACGCAACUGAAAUUUAAGUGUCAAAUCUUUUUCUGUAUGUAUUUUGGUGUCAAAAUCUUUUACCACACAUGUAAUUGUAAGAAUUCGAAUUGUAUA